rnacentral:lncRNA from 10 species
GAAAUGGAGGGUGGAGGGGGUAGCCUGAUUAUGCACGGCUUCAUAGGCCAUGGUAAGGCCUUUGGAUAUUUAUUGAAUAGAUGAAUGGAUGAAUAAAUAAAUGAAUGAGUGAAUUAUCGAAUGGAUAGAAAAGUACUAGUCUUGUGCCACGUGUUAGGAAAAACAGAAGAAAUCUUCUGCUUGUGGCCUUAGAGCUAAUCAUAGCAGCCACCAUUGACUGCAUUCUUACAAUGUGCCAAGCUGUCUACCAGGCAUUUUGCAGAUGUGAUCUACUUUAAUCCCCAUGACUACCUCGUGAAGACAUAUGACCCUCUUCUAUCUAUGAGGACAUGGAGGCACAAAGCAGUGAAGGACCUGCAGAAGGUCACAAUGUGAAUUUGUUGGCAAUCUCUUGAUCCUGGCAUCAUCAAAAGGAUGACCGUAUAGCAUGGCAAGGAAAGCACUGGGGAUGGAAGAGUUGGGUGAAGAAGCACCUGAGAGAGGAAGAAUAGUGCACGCAGUGCAGGAAGGAACAGUCCACUUGUACUUCUCUGGGUCCCUGGUCAAGGCUGGAAUUCUAUGAUGUGACUGAACCUGCUAAUAAAUAUACACUGAUUAUCAAGAAAAACAUAGGUAAUUGUUAAAAUCAUGCAGAGAAUCAAAAUAUUUUAAUUUACCUAAUAUAAACUGCUCAUACCCUGACUGAUAUGAGACUCUUAGAGACUAGUCCAAGAUGUCUCAGAAAAACCAUCUUGUGAAGGAAGGAACAAGCGACAUUUUGGAAAUGGUCCAGCUCCUGUGGGAAGCUUCCCCAGGCUGUCACUAUUGUUCACUGUAAAUCUCUAUGAGUAUACUUGCCUCUGGAUGGAUGGGAAAUCAAUAAGGACAAGGACUUUAGGAAUUGAGUGUGACAUCUAUUGUCAUGGGGAAUCUUGAACCAACUCUCUAAGCCAAGAGCAAACACCUCCAAUAGGCAGAUUUGGCACAGUCUGCCCUUUGGCAGUUGCUAAGGAUCUGGGAGGCCGAAGGUUUCUGAGCACUUUCCUUUCCAGAAGCACACCAGUGCUGAGCUAAUCUUUGCACUUGCUCUCUGUUCUAUAUGGAAUAGCAAUUCCUACUCUCUAGCAUUUUGGGGUAAAUGCUACCCCAAAGCCUUCCUCAAUGCCUCAUCCCACUCAGUGUUACAGCUUCCUUGAACUCCUUUAGGACACAGUGCAAACCUUGGACUCCAUCACUGCACUUGGCUCAUCGUGUGGCUACUACGUGUGUGUGUAUUGGUCUUCCCUCUGGACUGAGAGUGAGAGCAAUGUGUGUGUCCUACUUAUUUGUAGUAUCUCUUGCAUCUGGUUUCAUGCCUGCCACAAAUUUACUGCAAAGUAAGGAUGUAUAAAACUGAAUAGAAAGACAGUAGCCACUCAUUAAUGUUGAGUGAAUGUUGACUGAAUCUUUAUUUACCUCUAUUUUAUUUCUUUCCCUAGAGCAUUCAAGGCAUAACAAAUGCAUCGGCAAAUGCCAAACAAGUCAGUUAGGUCCCAUGAUUGUCCACAUUCUAUGGAUGAAGAAAACAAUGGGUGAAAAAAAAAAAAAAACAGGAUUCACUGAGAUUCUUUAACCUGCCGAAGGUCGUACAAUUAAGGAACAAAUAUAUAUUUGUAUAAAUUUAAUCCAUUUAUUGUUUGCCUGGAGAAAAGUGCACUGAUGUGAGCUACGCUUUGUAAAUGGGAAAUGGGUUAAGGAGUCCAAGUGCAGUUUUGUUACAUGGAUAUAUUGCCUAGUGGUGAAGUCUGGGAUUUAGUGUAACCAUCACCCAAAUAAUGUGCCUUGUAUCCAUUAAAUAACUUUUUAUCCCUCGCCCUCCUCCCACCCACCCACC